rnacentral:rRNA from 1 species
CAGGCUUAACACAUGCAAGUCGAGGGGCAGCAUGGUCUUAGCUUGCUAAGGCCGAUGGCGACCGGCGCACGGGUGAGUAACACGUAUCCAACCUGCCGUCUACUCUUGGACAGCCUUCUGAAAGGAAGAUUAAUACAAGAUGGCAUCAUGAGUCCGCAUGUUCACAUGAUUAAAGGUAUUCCGGUAGACGAUGGGGAUGCGUUCCAUUAGAUAGUAGGCGGGGUAACGGCCCACCUAGUCUUCGAUGGAUAGGGGUUCUGAGAGGAAGGUCCCCCACAUUGGAACUGAGACACGGUCCAAACUCCUACGGGAGGCAGCAGUGAGGAAUAUUGGUCAAUGGGCGCAGGCCUGAACCAGCCAAGUAGCGUGAAGGAUGACUGCCCUAUGGGUUGUAAACUUCUUUUAUAAAGGAAUAAAGUCGGGUAUGGAUACCCGUUUGCAUGUACUUUAUGAAUAAGGAUCGGCUAACUCCGUGCCAGCAGCCGCGGUAAUACGGAGGAUCCGAGCGUUAUCCGGAUUUAUUGGGUUUAAAGGGAGCGUAGAUGGAUGUUUAAGUCAGUUGUGAAAGUUUGCGGCUCAACCGUAAAAUUGCAGUUGAUACUGGAUAUCUUGAGUGCAGUUGAGGCAGGCGGAAUUCGUGGUGUAGCGGUGAAAUGCUUAGAUAUCACGAAGAACUCCGAUUGCGAAGGCAGCCUGCUAAGCUGCAACUGACAUUGAGGCUCGAAAGUGUGGGUAUCAAACAGGAUUAGAUACCCUGGUAGUCCACACGGUAAACGAUGAAUACUCGCUGUUUGCGAUAUACGGCAAGCGGCCAAGCGAAAGCGUUAAGUAUUCCACCUGGGGAGUACGCCGGCAACGGUGAAACUCAAAGGAAUUGACGGGGGCCCGCACAAGCGGAGGAACAUGUGGUUUAAUUCGAUGAUACGCGAGGAACCUUACCCGGGCUUAAAUUGCAGAUGAAUUACGGUGAAAGCCGUAAGCCGCAAGGCAUCUGUGAAGGUGCUGCAUGGUUGUCGUCAGCUCGUGCCGUGAGGUGUCGGCUUAAGUGCCAUAACGAGCGCAACCCUUGUUGUCAGUUACUAACAGGUUCCGCUGAGGACUCUGACAAGACUGCCAUCGUAAGAUGUGAGGAAGGUGGGGAUGACGUCAAAUCAGCACGGCCCUUACGUCCGGGGCUACACACGUGUUACAAUGGGGGGUACAGAGGGCCGCUACCACGCGAGUGGAUGCCAAUCCCAAAAACCUCUCUCAGUUCGGACUGGAGUCUGCAACCCGACUCCACGAAGCUGGAUUCGCUAGUAAUCGCGCAUCAGCCACGGCGCGGUGAAUACGUUCCCGGGCCUUGUACACACCGCCCGUCAAGCCAUGGGAGCCGGGGGUACCUGAAGUGCGUAACCGCGAGGAGCGCCCUAGGGUAAAACUGGUGACUGGGGC